rnacentral:rRNA from 1 species
GCGUGCAGGAUGACGGUCCUAUGGAUUGUAAACUGCUUUUAUACGAGAAGAAACACUCCUUCGUGAAGGAGCUUGACGGUAUCGUAAGAAUAAGGAUCGGCUAACUCCGUGCCAGCAGCCGCGGUAAUACGGAGGAUCCAAGCGUUAUCCGGAAUCAUUGGGUUUAAAGGGUCCGUAGGCGGUUUAAUAAGUCAGUGGUGAAAGCCCAUCGCUCAACGGUGGAACGGCCAUUGAUACUGUUAAACUUGAAUUAUUAGGAAGUAACUAGAAUAUGUAGUGUAGCGGUGAAAUGCUUAGAGAUUACAUGGAAUACCAAUUGCGAAGGCAGGUUACUACUAAUGGAUUGACGCUGAUGGACGAAAGCGUGGGUAGCGAACAGGAUUAGAUACCCUGGUAGUCCACGCCGUAAACGAUGGAUACUAGCUGUUGGAAGCAAUUUCAGUGGCUAAGCGAAAGUGAUAA